rnacentral:rRNA from 1 species
UGGGGAAUCUUGGACAAUGGGGGCAACCCUGAUCCAGCCAUGCCGCGUGAGUGAUGAAGGCCUUAGGGUCGUAAAGCUCUUUCGCCUGUGAAGAUAAUGACGGUAGCAGGUAAAGAAACCCCGGCUAACUCCGUGCCAGCAGCCGCGGUAAUACGAAGGGGGCUAGCGUUGUUCGGAUUUACUGGGCGUAAAGCGCACGUAGGCGGAUCGUUAAGUGAGGGGUGAAAUCCCAGGGCUCAACCCUGGAACUGCCUUUCAUACUGGCGAUCUGGAGUUCGAGAGAGGUGAGUGGAAUUCCGAGUGUAGAGGUGAAAUUCGUAGAUAUUUGGAGGAACACCAGUGGCGAAGGCGGCUCACUGGCUCGAUACUGACGCUGAGGUGCGAAAGUGUGGGGAGCAAACAGGAUUAGAUACCCUGGUAGUCCACACCGUAAACGAUGAAUGCCAGUCGUCGGGUAGCAUGCUAUUCGGUGACACACCUAACGGAUUAAGCAUUCCGCCUGGGGAGUACGGUCGCAGAUUAAAACUCAAAGGAAUU